CCGUAACGGCUUUAUGGUUUCAGCAAAAAUACUUUUGGUGGCGGUUUGUGUGGGUUUUCAUUUAAAAAUAUAUAAUCCCGAUGGUGAUCCGGUCAAUAGAAUAAAAAGAUUGCCUGAAAAAUUGUCACCCAAGACUUUGGCAGAGAGACAUCUUGUCAGGUGGGAUAUCCUAGGGUGAUGAAUCUUCAGAGUUUAAUACUAAAAUAUGUUGUAGAUACAGUUAAUAAACAGUAAAAUGCCUAAAACAAGGGAGUUGAGUGAGUGUGAGCGAGGUCAAAUCAUAGCUCAUCAUGAAAAUGGAAUGUCUCAAAGGCAAAUUGCUCAGAAGAUGAAAUGUUCUCGAUAAGCAGUGCAAACGACUCUCAAGCGCUUCAGGGAGACAAAAGAUGUGAAGACUAUACAAAGAACAGGUAGAAAAAAGGUUACAUCACCUCAUGAUGACAGAUCCAUCAUCCAUCAGCCAAUCAGUAACAGGAGAAAAACAUCACCAGAGCUCUAUGUGAACUUCAACGAAGCAAGUACUUCACAAAUAUCAGCCAUAACUGUUAGAAGAAGGCUUGUAGAGUACGGUCUGAAAGGCUGUAAAGCCAGGAAGAGGCCAUGGGUUUUUGAAGCAAAUAUGGAAAAACGUCUUCAGUGGGCCAAAAAUGACUCAAAUUGGACCAGUGAGCAAUGGUCAAAAGUCAUAUGGUCUGAUGAAAGUAACUAUGAGGUAAGAUAGUACAUGUAUUUAAUCAACAUAUAACUGGUUUG